rnacentral:lncRNA from 8 species
UGGAAAUGUAACAUAAUUAAACAAUUCAAUGAAGUUGCAAUAACACUGAUAGCUGUUGGUAUUGUGGUCCUCAAAAUAACUGACAGAUUAUUAAUUAUAGGUCAGCCAAAUUAUCAACAUAACUCACAAAAAGUUUGCUUUACUGAUAAAGACAAACUAGAGUAGAAAGGAAAAAAGGAAAAGACCACUAUCAAAUUAGAAAUGAGUAGAUAAGGGUAAUAACAUUGUCUGAAUAAGAAUAAAACACACAUUUGUAUGACAUUUUUGAAGAGAUAGACCAGCAAAAGACAACUAAAAACAGCCAGAUUAUAUAGUAAUCAUUUUUACUCACAAUUGUCAGAGGAAGACAGUCACAGUGAACACUAGUGCAGCAUAGGACUGUAAUCACCUGAGUCCCGGUCCUACCACCCUGCUCCAAAGAGCACUUCCUGACGUUUUACUUCACUAUACUUUGUUCAAAAUAUAUCUUGGUAUUUGUCUAGAUUGAUUUCUCACAAACAGCUACAACANNNNNNNNNNNNNNNNNNNNCUUUUAGCACUCUGUAAACUAUAUUAAUAACAACAAUAAAACUCUUAAAGUUACAUGUUUCAAUAGUCUCACACUCCCUUAUAACAAUAUCUACAGCAUUAACCUUGGGAUAUUUUAUUUAUUUCACGUUAUGGACUUCUACAAAGGAGUAAUCUGCAACACAUACCUUUCUCUCAGGGUAUUUUCGGACUGAGGAGAACGGGAGCUACGGGUAGUACCAGGGUGUUAGUAGGUGUCGCAAGCACCCAGAUCAAAUAAAAUACAUUUAAUGAAACAAAACCCAAAGAUGUUAACAUCAUUCAGCUACUGUAGCUGCCUACCUAACAUCAACAGGUAGCACCAGUAGUGCAACAAUUAAAAAUAGACACCAAAAGUAUCUGACUCCCCCUUCUGUCUGAACUUGGAAUAUUCCUGUUCGCGGGCUUUGGCCACUGACCCUCAACCUGGUUCUUCUGUUCUGCUGUUCUGCGUUGUGUACUAUUCUAAUCAUUUGAAGUUUGAUGGAAUAACCAUUUUAACUCUACUACAAAUAUACAGAAAAGGUUCAGAGUGUGAUGGUUGUUUCAAAUCAAGGUUUCACUAUCACAGAGCCUGCACCUCAGAGAGGAUGGGAUUUUCCUCAGCAGGGCCGUCCUUGGUCUCUAAAGCCAGCCGUAGUUGCUGCCAGAAGACCCCGGUUUGCUCCCCAGCUCUGGGCCAGCUCAGGUGAGAGGAAAGAACAUUGAAUAAGUGGAGAGAGAAGGACAUAAAGACCACAGGAGGCUGGUGAGAGGAGGACAGCUCAUAAUAAUGGCAGGAAUGGAGUGAAUGGAAUGGUAUCAAACACAUGGAAACAACGUGUUUGAUGUGUUUGAUACACUCUUGGAAAAAAGGUGCUAUCUAGAACCUAAAAGGGUUCUUCGGCUGGCCCCAUAGUAGAAGCCUUUGAAGAACUAGUUUUAGUUCCAGGUAAAACCCUUUUGGUUCCAGGUAGAGCCCAUUCCAAAGAGGGUUCUACAUAGAACCAAAAGGGUUCUACCUGAAACCAAAAAGGGUUCUACCUGGAACCAAAAAGGUUUCUCCUAUGGGGACAGCUGAAGAACCCUUUUGGAACCAUUGUUUCUAAGAGUGUACCAUUCCAUUUAUUCCGUUCCAGCCAUUACAAUGAGCCCAUCCUCCUCAAUUAAGGUGUUACAAGCUGCCUGUGAUAAGGACCUGUCUGCCACCCCUAGGGCAGUAGCCAGAGAGGUCCCACUGCCCAUCUCCGGCAUCAAGGAAGGCAUGUGCGGCCUACAUCAAAGUGUAUGUGGGCUCUGAGUACUACCACUACGAGACACCCAGGCUCCUGGCUUUCAGCAGGAUCCGCCCAGAGCCUAACAAAAUCCCCCCAGACAUGAUGGGCUGUGUGAAAUAGGAGUCAGUGUGUGUUCAAUGAAUAACAACUGUGAACAUCUGUACUCAAUGGACAACAUGGUGUCUUAUUAGAAAAUUAGCCAAAUCUGCUGUCAAAACAUAAAAUCACAUCACCACAAUUCACAAGUCACUCAAACAAUGUUUGUUUAAAGGUUCAAGUAAUACAAUCUAGCUCCAUCAAAGAUACUGGUAACUAACCCAAGAUUUAUCAUCGGCAUUGUUUCCAAUGAGAGCAGAACAAGCAAGA